rnacentral:rRNA from 1 species
UGGGGAAUAUUGGACAAUGGGCGCAAGCCUGAUCCAGCCAUGCCGCGUGAGUGAUGAAGGCCCUAGGGUUGUAAAGCUCUUUCACCGGUGAAGAUAAUGACGGUAACCGGAGAAGAAGCCCCGGCUAACUUCGUGCCAGGAGCCGCGGUAAUACGAAGGGGGCUAGCGUUGUUCGGAUUUACUGGGCGUAAAGCGCACGUAGGCGGACUUUUAAGUCAGGGGUGAAAUCCCGGGGCUCAACCCCGGAACUGCCUUUGAUACUGGAAGUCUUGAGUAUGGUAGAGGUGAGUGGAAUUCCGAGUGUAGAGGUGAAAUUCGUAGAUAUUCGGAGGAACACCAGUGGCGAAGGCGGCUCACUGGACCAUUACUGACGCUGAGGUGCGAAAGCGUGGGGAGCAAACAGG